rnacentral:rRNA from 1 species
UACAGAGGUCUCAAGCGUUGUUCGGAUUCAUUGGGCGUAAAGGGUGCGUAGGUGGCGCCGUAAGUCAGGUGUGAAAUUUCGGAGCUUAACUCCGAAACUGCAUUUGAUACUGCGGUGCUUGAGGACUGGAGAGGAGACUGGAAUUCACGGUGUAGCAGUGAAAUGCGUAGAUAUCGUGAGGAAGACCAGUGGCGAAGGCGGGCUCUGACGACUCUGACUGAGGCUAGCGACGGAAGC